CUCAGAAUCUCUUUAUUACUUUCUGAAUAAUAUGACAGGAAUGUUCCAGAAAAGCCAUAUCAUCAGCAGUAUUCACAAUAAAAGCAAUUAAUUUCACCUUCAGGUUUAUAUCAGGGUGAACUAUGGUACUCAAAGUCAUGGCCCAGUAAAUUACAAGAGUUAGCCACACAAGGCUGGGAUUCCGUUAGAAGACUGGCUGAUGAUUCUGUAAAAUUUACCUCUCCAAAACUACUAGGCUCCUAGGACUACCAUAAUAAAUUAUCACAAACUGGGUGGCUUGAAACAAUGGAAGUUUAUUCUCUCUCAGUUCUGGAGGCCAGAAGUCCUAAAUCAAGGUGUUGGCAGGACCACACUCCCUCUGAAGGCACUAAGGGAGGAUCCUUCCUUGCCUCUUCUGGCUUCUGGUGGCUCCCAGCAUUCCUUGGCUUGUGGCUGCAUCACUCCAAUCUCUGCCUCUGUCUUCACAUGGCCUUCUCCUCCUUCUGUCUUCUCCUCUUCUGUCUCUUACAACACCACCUGCCACUGGAUUUACGGCCCAUCUGGAUAAUCCAGGAUGAUCUCAUCCCAAGGUUCUUACCUAAUCACAUCUGCAAUGACCUUCUUUUCAUGUAAGGUCACAUUCACAAGUUCCAGGGGCUAGGAUGUGGACAUAUCUUUUGGGGGGCCACAAUUCAGCCCAAUGUACAAAGUGUACUCUGGACUUCCAGGUCUUUACAAAACCUUAAGUACUUGAAAAUAGCCCAUAUUUUCUUCCAUGCUUUAACGCUAAUAUAAAGAAGAGUGAGGAGAUGCUUCUUCCUUCUGCUUUAUAUACCAUCGGGAAGACAGCUGACACAGGCCUCAGAGGUGGAUGUCAGGAGUCUGGUGCAAGUGUGCCCAUGCCAACUGCACACGUGUAGGCAAUUUUAAAAGCAUGUUUUUCUAAUUAUACUGUUUACACUUGAUUAUACAUACACAGCUGAAAAAGUCUAGUUUUCACAUCACCUGCUUAGGCACAGUGACUGCGUUUUCAGAAGCAAAAAUCUACAAAUGCUUUUAUGUAGAUUCCAGAAUAGAAUGUUUUGGGGAAAACUAUCCAUGUUAAAAACAAAAAGCCUCAUACUAGUUGUGGGAUCUAGGGCAAGUUAUUUAUAAUCAUCCUGUGUUCCAGUUUUCCCAUCUGUAAAAUGGCAUCAUCAUAAAAAGCCUACUUCACAGGGUUGUUAUGAGGAUUAAAUAGGUUAGUAUCUGUAAAGCAUUUAAAACAAUGCCUGGCACAUUGUAAGGGCUAUAUAAGUUUUAUCACAUUGUUUUAAAAAGCCAUAAUUAGAAAUCACAGUAAAUAUUGAAGAGAUUCAUUUACAAACACAUUCAAAGCAUGCACAUCAAUUGAAGUUCUUGAUUAUAAGCAACAGAGAUGCAGACAAAAUCUUUUAGGAAAUGAAUGUUUGUAGAAUAACUGGGAAGGGUCAAAAAAUGGUUGGAGCCAAGGGAAACUGGGCAGCAGACUAUGCAGCCACAAGGACCUAGAAGAAACAUCACUGAACCAUUCUGCCCAAUCAAUGCCGAUUUAGAAAGCAUAAGGUAAAAAGCAUAUACAAAAAUAAACAUUUUAAGUGGAGCUUUGGACUUGUCAUUAUCCACUGUGUUCUUAGAAAUACCAGUAACAUAAGUCCCUCUUUUUAUCGGAUAAUAAGUAUGUGAUGGAAGGUUACUUACUGGAAGGUACUGGAGUAUCUCAAUUAAACUUAGCCAACAACAGCUCCUAAACUCCGCGUCUUACAAAUUUUCUCUCUGUUCUAGCUUGAAAAUCUUGCAAAGAACUCAGAUUUGCCCGGCUUGCACCCCUUUACUCAGAUGCACACCCUAAACUAGUCAACUGGGGUGAGCAGAGAGUCAUAACAAACCCCGGGGCUCCUGCCAGAGACACGGUUAGCAACGGAAACACAGCUACUCCAGAAGAUACUGCCAAGCAGACGUGGCACAGCUGAGCUGUACUCAUUCACACUGUAUCCAUGUUGAAUGCAGAGACUACCUCAUGAAGGAAAACACGUCCCUAUACAUAUGGAGUUCUAAGUGAGGCCAAGAGACCGGAACGACAUGAGUAGAAAAGACAGAAAACAGGGGAAGAGAGAAAUAAGUAAAAGAGAAAAAACAAGGAACGCACAAAAAUGUAACUAGUAAUCACCUUCUACAGUGCAAAUCACAAGAAAAUAAGCCAAUAUUUGUUCUAAAUUUAUUUUUCUGGUAAACGAGGUAAAAUAGAAAGUAUAAAGACUUAGUCCAAAUUCUAACAGGGCUGUCCGAUGAUCUGUGAUGAACUGGAUGCCAGUCCUGUAGGACUGAAGGUUCCCACAUGCAAGACUAAAUGAUAACAGGCAUGAUUUAUACAGAGGCAGGUAAAAUUAAUAGUUCAUUUUAAAGUUUUCCCACAUUAAGGGUUAAAAUGAAAAUGGUUUUCCAGCUCUCGGAAAAGAUUCAGUUAAGCAUACAACGCCCUUUUUCAAAACACUGUGACAAACUGAAGUUUUUAUGCAAAAGUGUAUGGUGACAUUUCUGAAGUAUGUUUACCAGUUGGAGGGAGAGUUUAAGACAGGACUGUAAUCAAGCGAGUGGGAUUUUUGGCCUACUGCUAUCUUCCUCCCUCCACGAGGCAUAUACCAAGUUCAGUUCCCAAAGUACUACAAUAAAUACACCUAGUUAACUUUGUUUGACCAAGCGUUUCUCAAAUAUAUUUGGUCAGGGAACCCUUUUUAUUAUGACAUCUAUUUGUAUCCUAAGGAACUCAUGUUCUAAGGGACAUCCUUUGAGAAAUGCUGCUAUGUCGCAAAUAAAUACUGAGAUUCUAAGGGUGGUGAGUUGAGCAACAGCUGUGAUCUGUUUUAGUGUCUCUAAGGAAACUAGUAAGUGAGACAUAUCUUCUCAAAUGUUUUUUUUAUAGAAUGAGUAUUGUGUGCAGAAAUCCCACCCACCUUUCUUACAAAUCACGCUGAUGUAGAAAUGGGAAAAUGCUACAAGAUAGUAAUUACCACAGUACUGAAAACACAUACCAUAACAAUCCCACUGUAAAGCAUUUUAGAGAGGAUGAAGAGAAUGUUGACAUAAAAAGAGUAACUCUGAAAAGGUGAGCAUUACCAAGUGUCUCUGGUCUCUUAAAGCAGUCCUCAGAACUGGCCCGAAGGGGUCCUCUCCAAAUGACUGAGUUGACUCAGCUCACUCUCCUCAGGCCUCCUGAAUAGACGGCGUCUGGCGGACACAUGGGAGCUCAACCAGUCCUCCCCAGGAGAGCUGGAACCCUGCAGCAUCUAGUGCCUGUCUUUAGGGACAAUAUUUGUGCAAUCCUCCCCAACCCCAAGUCCUC
ensembl:lncRNA